rnacentral:tRNA from 1 species
CAAAAAAUAGUUUAUUUAAAACGCCAGUUUUGGGGACUGGAAAUGGAGGUGUGACUUUCUUUUUUGA